rnacentral:rRNA from 1 species
UUCCGGUUGAUCCCGCCGGACCUGACUGCUAUCGGAUUGAUACUAAGCCAUGCGAGUCAUUGUAGCAAUACAAGGCAUACGGCUCAGUAACGCGUAGUCAACCUAACCUAUGGACGGGAAUAACCUCGGGAAACUGAGAAUAAUGCCCGAUAGAACAUUAUGCCUGGAAUGGUUUAUGCUCCAAAUGAUUUAUCGCCGUAGGAUGGGACUGCGGCCUAUCAGUUUGUUGGUGAGGUAAUGGCCCACCAAGACUAUUACAGGUACGGGCUCUGAGAGGAGUAGCCCGGAGAUGGGUACUGAGACACGGACCCAGGCCCUAUGGGGCGCAGCAGGCGAGAAAACUUUGCAAUGUGCGAAAGCCCGACAAGGUUAAUCCGAGUGGUUUCUGCUAAAGAAACCUUUUGUCAGUCCUAGAAACACUGAUGAAUAAGGGGUGGGCAAGUUCUGGUGUCAGCCGCC